GAACUUUCCAGAGAUGGAUUGGUGCCUUCGGGAACUUAGAUACAGGUGCUGCAUGGCUGUCGUCAGCUCGUGUCGUGAGAUGUUGGGUUAAGUCCCGCAACGAGCGCAACCCUUUUCCUUAUUUGCCAGCGGGUCAUGCCGGGAACUUUAAGGAUACUGCCAGUGACAAACUGGAGGAAGGCGGGGACGACGUCAAGUCAUCAUGGCCCUUACGGCCAGGGCUACACACGUGCUACAAUGGUCGGUACAAAGGGUUGCUACCUCGCGAGAGGAUGCUAAUCUCAAAAAGCCGAUCGUAGUCCGGAUCGCAGUCUGCAACUCGACUGCGUGAAGUCGGAAUCGCUAGUAAUCGCGGAUCAGAAUGCCGCGGUGAAUACGUUCCCGGGCCUUGUACACACCGCCCGUCACACCAUGGGAGUUUGUUGCACCAGAAGUAGGUAGUCUAACCGCAAGGAGGACGCUUACCACGGUGUGGCCGAUGACUGGGGUGAAGUCGUAACAAGGUAAGCGUAGAUGA
rnacentral:rRNA from 1 species